UUGAGUUCCAAAACAAGUGGCAGUUGUUUGAUCAUUUUGGCGUGAAAUGUGUACUACUGGAUGGUACCAGCUUCACAGAAAACUUAUUUUUUGUGGCAGGGUUGGCAGAAAAGCAAAAGAAGUCUUGCUCCUCUAGGUCUUAAAGAUGGCUGUGCGGAGAAAGGCCCGGACAGAGCAACGACAGCUGCCUUUUUUCAAUGCCAAAAUCAUUACGUUUUUGGACGUUUCUUCACUUCAAGUAAACAAUUAGACAUGGAAAGCUCUAGUGAAUGGAGUUCAAAGCUUCACCUUAGCACUGGGGAUUGAAAGGAAGAGUUAUUGCGUGGACA
rnacentral:lncRNA from 1 species